rnacentral:rRNA from 1 species
UACCAGACUCCUACGGGAGGCAGCAGUGGGGAAUAUUGCACAAUGGGGGAAACCCUGAUGCAGCAACGCCGCGUGAGUGAGGAAGUAUUUCGGUAUGUAAAGCUCUAUCAGCAGGGAAUAGAAAAGAAGGUACCUGAAAAAGAAGCCCCGGCUAACUACGUGCCAGCAGCCGCGGUAAUACGUAGGGGGCAAGCGUUAUCCGGAUUUACUGGGUGUAAAGGGGGCGCAGACGGCAGCGCAAGCCAGGAGUGAAAGCCCGGGGCCCAACCCCGGGACUGCUCUUGGAACUGCGCGGCUGGAGUGCAGGAGGGGCAGGCGGAAUUCCUAGUGUAGCGGUGAAAUGCGUAGAUAUUAGGAGGAACACCAGUGGCGAAGGCGGCCUGCUGGACGACAACUGACGGUGAGGCGCGAAAGCGUGGGGAGCAAACAGGAUUAGAUACCCCCGUAGU